rnacentral:rRNA from 1 species
AGAGUUUGAUCCUGGCUCAGGAUGAACGCUGACAGAAUGCUUAACACAUGCAAGUCUACUUGAUCCUUCGGGUGAUGGUGGCGGACGGGUGAGUAACGCGUAAAGAACUUGCCCUGCAGUCUGGGACAACAUUUGGAAACGAAUGCUAAUACCGGAUAUUAUGUGAGUUUCGCAUGAAAUUCAUAUGAAAGCUAUAUGCGCUGCAGGAGAGCUUUGCGUCCUAUUAGCUAGUUGGUGAGGUAACGGCUCACCAAGGCGAUGAUAGGUAGCCGGCCUGAGAGGGUGAACGGCCACAAGGGGACUGAGACACGGCCCUUACUCCUACGGGAGGCAGCAGUGGGGAAUAUUGGACAAUGGACCAAAAGUCUGAUCCAGCAAUUCUGUGUGCACGAUGAAGUUUUUCGGAAUGUAAAGUGCUUUCAGUUGGGACGAAGUAAGUGACGGUACCAACAGAAGAAGCGACGGCUAAAUACGUGCCAGCAGCCGCGGUAAUACGUAUGUCGCAAGCGUUAUCCGGAUUUAUUGGGCGUAAAGCGCGUCUAGGCGGUUUGGUAAGUCUGAUGUGAAAAUGCGGGGCUCAACUCCGUAUUGCGUUGGAAACUGCCAAACUAGAGUACUGGAGAGGUGGGCGGAACUACAAGUGUAGAGGUGAAAUUCGUAGAUAUUUGUAGGAAUGCCGAUGGGGAAGCCAGCCCACUGGACAGAUACUGACGCUAAAGCGCGAAAGCGUGGGUAGCAAACAGGAUUAGAUACCCUGGUAGUCCACGCCGUAAACGAUGAUUACUAGGUGUUGGGGGUCGAACCUCAGCGCCCAAGCUAACGCGAUAAGUAAUCCGCCUGGGGAGUACGUACGCAAGUAUGAAACUCAAAGGAAUUGACGGGGACCCGCACAAGCGGUGGAGCAUGUGGUUUAAUUCGAAGCAACGCGAAGAACCUUACCAAGUCUUGACAUCCCUCUGACCGGCUCUUAACCGAGUCUUUCCUUCGGGACAGAGGAGACAGGUGGUGCAUGGUUGUCGUCAGCUCGUGUCGUGAGAUGUUGGGUUAA